rnacentral:rRNA from 1 species
AACACGUAUCCAACCUGCCCUUUACUCGGGGAUAGCCUUUCGAAAGAAAGAUUAAUACCCGAUGGGAUAAUUAUUCCGCAUGGUUUGAUUAUUAAAGGAUUCCGGUAAAGGAUGGGGAUGCGUUCCAUUAGGUUGUUGGUGAGGUAACGGCUCACCAAGCCUUCGAUGGAUAGGGGUUCUGAGAGGAAGGUCCCCCACAUUGGAACUGAGACACGGUCCAAACUCCUACGGGAGGCAGCAGUGAGGAAUAUUGGUCAAUGGGCGCUAGCCUGAACCAGCCAAGUAGCGUGAAGGAUGAAGGCUCUAUGGGUCGUAAACUUCUUUUAUAUAAGAAUAAAGUGCAGUAUGUAUACUGUUUUGUAUGUAUUAUAUGAAUAAGGAUCGGCUAACUCCGUGCCAGCAGCCGCGGUAAUACGGAGGAUCCGAGCGUUAUCCGGAUUUAUUGGGUUUAAAGGGAGCGUAGGUGGACUGGUAAGUCAGUUGUGAAAGUUUGCGGCUCAACCGUAAAAUUGCAGUUGAUACUGUCAGUCUUGAGUACAGUAGAGGUGGGCGGAAUUCGUGGUGUAGCGGUGAAAUGCUUAGAUAUCACGAAGAACUCCGAUUGCGAAGGCAGCUCACUGGACUGCAACUGACACUGA